UGGGGAAUAUUGCACAAUGGGCGCAAGCCUGAUGCAGCGACGCCGCGUGAGGGAUGAAGGCCUUCGGGUUGUAAACCUCUUUCGUCAGGGAACAAGGCACUGCCUUUUUGGUGGUGUUGAGGGUACCUGGAUAAGAAGCGCCGGCUAACUACGUGCCAGCAGCCGCGGUAAUACGUAGGGCGCAAGCGUUGUCCGGAAUUAUUGGGCGUAAAGAGCUCGUAGGCGGCUGGUCGCGUCUGUCGUGAAAACUUCCGGCUCAACCGGGGGCUUGCGGUGGGUACGGGCCGGCUAGAGUGCGGUAGGGGUAACUGGAACUCCUGGUGUAGCGGUGGAAUGCGCAGAUAUCAGGAAGAACACCGAUGGCGAAGGCAGGUUACUGGGCCGUUACUGACGCUGAGGAGCGAAAGCGUGGGGAGCGAACAGGAUUAGAUACCCUGGUAGUCCACGCUGUAAACGUUGGGCACUAGGUGUGAGGCUCCUUUCCGGGGGUUUUGCGCCGUAGCUAACGCAUUAAGUGCCCCGCCUGGGGAGUACGGCCGCAAGGCUA
rnacentral:rRNA from 1 species